rnacentral:rRNA from 1 species
GACGAACGCUGGCGGCGUGCUUAACACAUGCAAGUCGUACGGUAAGGCCCUUUCGGGGGUACACGAGUGGCGAACGGGUGAGUAACACGUGAGUAACCUGCCCACAACUUUGGGAUAACGCUAGGAAACUGGUGCUAAUACUGGAUAUGUGCUCCUGCUGCAUGGUGGGGGUUGGAAAGCUCCGGCGGUUGUGGAUGGACUCGCGGCCUAUCAGCUUGUUGGUGGGGUAGUGGCCUACCAAGGCGGCGACGGGUAGCCGGCCUGAGAGGGUGACCGGCCACAUUGGGACUGAGAUACGGCCCAGACUCCUACGGGAGGCAGCAGUGGGGAAUAUUGCACAAUGGGCGCAAGCCUGAUGCAGCAACGCCGCGGGCGGGAUGACGGUCUUCGGGUUGUAAACCGCUUUCAGCAGGGACGAAGCUUUUUGUGACGGUACCUGCAGAAGAAGCACCGGCUAACUACGUG